rnacentral:rRNA from 1 species
AGAGUUUGAUCAUAGCUCAGGAUGAACGCUAGCGGGAGGCUUAACACAUGCAAGUCGAGGGGGAACAUUGGAGCUUGCUUGACCGGCGCACGGGUGAGUAACGCGUAUGCAACCUACCUUUUACAGGGGAAUAGCCCAGAGAAAUUUGGAUUAAUGCCCCAUGGUACUUAGAGAUCGCAUGGUUUUUAAGUUAAAGAUUUAUCGGUAAAAGAUGGGCAUGCGUGACAUUAGUUUGUUGGCGGGGUAACGGCCCACCAAGUCUGCGAUGUCUAGGGGUUCUGAGAGGAUGAUCCCCCACACUGGUACUGAGACACGGACCAGACUCCUACGGGAGGCAGCAGUGAGGAAUAUUGGUCAAUGGGCGCAAGCCUGAACCAGCCAUCCCGCGUGAAGGAAGACUGCCCUAUGGGUUGUAAACUUCUUUUAUGUACCAAGAAUGUGAGCUACGUGUAGCUUUUUGACGGUAGUACAUGAAUAAGCAUCGGCUAACUCCGUGCCAGCAGCCGCGGUAAUACGGAGGAUGCGAGCGUUAUCCGGAUUCAUUGGGUUUAAAGGGUGUGUAGGCGGCUUAUUAAGUCAGUGGUGAAAUCCUGCGGCUCAACCGUAGAACUGCCAUUGAUACUGAUAAGCUUGAAUAUAGUUGAGGUAGGCGGAAUGAGUAGUGUAGCGGUGAAAUGCUUAGAUAUUACUCAGAACACCGAUUGCGAAGGCAGCUUACUAAACUAUUAUUGACGCUGAUGCACGAAAGCGUGGGGAGCGAACAGGAUUAGAUACCCUGGUAGUCCACGCCGUAAACGAUGUUCACUCGCUGUAUGCAAUACACCGUAUGCGGCCAAGCGAAAGUAUUAAGUGAACCACCUGGGGAGUACGUCGGCAACGGUGAAACUCAAAGGAAUUGACGGGGGCCCGCACAAGCGGAGGAACAUGUGGUUUAAUUCGAUGAUACGCGAGGAACCUUACCUGGGCUUAAAUGUAGAUUGCAUGAUGGUGAAAACACCCUUCCCUUCGGGGCUAUUUACAAGGUGCUGCAUGGUUGUCGUCAGCUCGUGCCGUGAGGUGUCGGGUUAAGUCCCAUAACGAGCGCAACCCCUAUCGUUAGUUGCCAUCAGGUCAUGCUGGGGACUCUAGCGAGACUGCCACCGUAAGGUGAGAGGAAGGUGGGGAUGACGUCAAAUCAGCACGGCCCUUAUGUCCAGGGCUACACACGUGUUACAAUGGUCGGUACAAAGGGCAGCUACACCGCGAGGUGAUGCUAAUCUCUAAAGCCGGUCUCAGUUCGGAUCGGAGUCUGCAACUCGACUCCGUGAAGUUGGAUUCGCUAGUAAUCGGAUAUCAGCCAUGAUCCGGUGAAUACGUUCCCGGGCCUUGUACACACCGCCCGUCAAACCAUGGAAGCUGGGGGGACCUGAAGUCUGUCACCGAAAGGAGCGGCCUAGGGUAAAACCGGUAACUGGGGUUAAGUCGUAACAAGGUAGCCCUAA